rnacentral:miRNA from 1 species
UGAGGCAGGAGAAUUGCUUGAACCCAGGAAAUGGAGGCUGCAGUGAGCCGAGAUCUCGCCACUGCACUCCAGCCUGGGUGACAGAGCAAGACUCCA